rnacentral:rRNA from 1 species
UACGAAGGGGGCUAGCGUUGCUCGGAAUCACUGGGCGUAAAGGGUGCGUAGGCGGGUUUUUAAGUCAGGGGUGAAAUCCUGGAGCUCAACUCCAGAACUGCCUUUGAUACUGAAGAUCUUGAGUUCGGGAGAGGUGAGUGGAACUGCGAGUGUAGAGGUGAAAUUCGUAGAUAUUCGCAAGAACACCAGUGGCGAAGGCGGCACACUGGCCCGAUACUGACGCUGAGGCACGAAAGCGUGGGGAGCAAACAGG